rnacentral:rRNA from 1 species
UUAUGCCUACGGGGCGCAGCAGUGAGGAAUAUUGGUCAAUGGGCAUACGCCUGAACCAGCCAAGUCGCGUGAGGGAAGACUGCCCUAUGGGUUGUAAACCUCUUUUGUCAGGGAGCAACGCCGGCUACGUGUAGCCGGACUGAGAGUACCUGAAGAAAAAGCAUCGGCUAACUCCGUGCCAGCAGCCGCGGUAAUACAGAGGUCUCAAGCGUUGUUCGGAAUCACUGGGCGUAAAGCGUGCGUAGGCUGUUUCGUAAGUCGUGUGUGAAAGGCGCGGGCUCAACCCGCGGACGGCAC